rnacentral:rRNA from 1 species
GAGGAAUAAGCAUCGGCUAACUCCGUGCCAGCAGCCGCGGUAAUACGGGGGAUGCAAGCGUUAUCCGGAAUCAUUGGGCGUAAAGCGCCUGUAGGUUGUUUAAUAAGUCUGUUGUUAAAGACUAGGGCUUAACCCUAGAAAAGCAAUGGAAACUACUAGACUAGAGUAUGGCAGGGGUAGAGGGAAUUUCUAGUGUAGCGGUGAAAUGCGUAGAUAUUAGAAAGAACACCGGCGGCGAAAGCGCUCUACUGGACCAUUACUGACACUCAGAGGCGAAAGCUAGGGGAGCAAAAGGGAUUAGAUACCCCUGUAGUCCUAGCCGUAAACGAUGGAUACUAGAUGUUGCGCAAUUUGUGCAGUAUCUUAGCUAACGCGUUAAGUAUCCCGCCUGGGGAGUACGCUCGCAAGGGUGAAACUCAAAGGAAUUGACGGGGGCCCGCACAAGCGGUGGAGCAUGUGGUUUAAUUCGAUGCAACGCGAAGAACCUUACCAGGGCUUGACAUACUACAAAUCUUUUCGAAACGAAAGAGUGCCUUCGGGAAUGUAGAUACAGGUGGUGCAUGGCUGUCGUCAGCUCGUGUCGUGAGAUGUUGGGUUAAGUCCCGCAACGAGCGCAACCCUCAUUUUUAGUUGCCAAUUUAUUGGGAUUUCUAGAGAGACUGCCGGUGACAAACCGGAGGAAGGUGAGGAUGACGUCAAGUCAGCAUGCCCCUUAUGCCCUGGGCCACACACGUGCUACAAUGGCGAAGACAAAGAGUCGCAAACCUGCGAAGGCUAGCUAAUCUCGUAAACUUCGUCUAAGUUCGGAUUGCAGGCUGCAACUCGCCUGCAUGAAG